rnacentral:rRNA from 1 species
UACGUAGGGUGCGAGCGUUAAUCGGAAUUACUGGGCGUAAAGCGUGCGUAGGCGGUUCGUUAAGUUCGUUGUGAAAGCCCCGGGCUCAACCUGGGAAUGGCGGUUGAAACUACAGGACUAGAAUCUGGCAGAGGGGGGUGGAAUUCCACGUGUAGCAGUGAAAUGCGUAGAGAUGUGGAGGAACACCGAUGGCGAAGGCAGCCCCCUGGGCUGAGAUUGACGCUCAGGCACGAAAGCGUGGGGAGCAAACAGG